GCUCUGACACACAGCUGCCUCUAGGCAGGGGAGAACCAAGUGUUGCAACACUUCAUUAGCUUGGAAACUUCCUUUCACACAGGGGAGCAGGAUCCCAGAGGGGGUCCCUGAUUGGUGGUAACUUCCAGGACUGUCUCAAGCAGUGUUUGGACCUGUUUCAUCUGUAUCUUCCAACUGUUUGGCCGUAAUUCUUCCUUGAGCUAAGCAAGUCAGAAGCUCUGCCUGCUGCCAGUAGAAGGUGUAGAAUUUUUUCCUAACUCCAGUUGAGGCUUUUGAUUCCCUCCAAGCACUUCACCAAAUCAAAGCCAGUCACAGAGAAUGGAGGAGACACCUGCCCAGAAUACCCACCGUCCAGGGAGAUUAAUGUGCUUUGUUCUUCCUGACCGAGACUCACAACCACAUUCUGAGGUCACUCGAGUGCCCCUGUCUCAUACAUGCCAAAGAAGUUGAAGCUAUAGAGACAACAAUCAAUCAGGGGCUGGUGGUGGUGCUUUUGGGGGUCUAGGAGAGCCCAAGGCCCUGAUAUUUUAAAAUCUCCUCCUCCUUGGCAUCUCCAGCAAGUUGCCGCUGCUGGUGAGCUUCGCUGUCUGCCCUGUUGACACGAUGGGUUUCUAGUAGGGGACGCCAUUGAUGGAAGAUCUGUGAAGACAAUGCUCGCCAAACCCCUGACAGAUGUCUCAUUUGACUCAGCAACUCAGGGCGGGGUGGGGGAAAUUCAUAAAACAAAUUCAUUUAUUUCACAAAUACAUGUUGAAUUUUUACUAUGUGCCAGGCAUAGUACCUGCCGAGUCAAGCCCUCGAGGAAAAAAAGCCAUUAAUUAGUCAACGUUCGAGCUCACAUUCUAAUUCUCAACUUCGUGAUUUGUUAAUCCAUCUUAUAGGCGAAGAAAGCGAGGCAUAGACAAGGAGCCGAGCUGAAACUGGCUAGAUUCCGGUAGGGGUCUGAGCCAUCUCUCCCACCUGGAGGCGCGGUCUCCAUUCCUCUGAAGCCCUUUGUGCGGCCCCCUUCCUCGCUGAGUUCUGGGCUGCAGUGGCAGCACUCUGCUCUAGCACUAACUCUGAAGCUGCCAGGGCAGCGUCAGCGGACAGAUGAAAAGGUGCCGGGACAUGCCGGCUGCCAGCCGGGGUUCCGCAAGCUCAGGCCUUAGGGCGGGGCGUGGAGGGGAGGCCCCGCCCCUCGCACGACGGCCUUAAGUGUGCGCACGCGUAGGGGGUCGCUCUUUCUCCGGGCGGCGGCACCGCCCACACCCUGGGACGUCAGCGGCGUGCGACGUGCUUUGCUGUAUAAAUGCGGUGGCUCCUGGCCUAGGGACACUUCAGUCCUGAGCGCUUGGGAGUGCGGUCGUUUGCCGGCGUAGCGGCCAGAGCCUGAGCCAGCCCUUGUUCUUCGCUGUGGCAUGGCGGACGAGGGGAAGUCGUACAGCGAACACGAUGAUGAGCGUGUUAAUUUCCCUCAAAGAAAGAAGAAAGGCCGGGGUCCCUUCCGGUGGAAAUAUGGUGAAGGAAACCGUAGGUCUGGAAGAGGCGGUUCUGGUAUUCGGUCUUCCCGCCUUGAGGAAGAUGAUGGAGAUGUGGCAAUGAGUGACGCCCAGGAUGGUCCCCGAGUACGAUACAACCCCUAUACCACCCGACCUAACCGUCGGGGUGAUACUUGGCAUGAUCGAGAUCGCAUUCAUGUUACUGUGCGGAGAGACAGAGCUCCUCCAGAGAGAGGAGGGGCUGGCACCAGCCAGGAUGGGACCUCAAAGAACUGGUUCAAGAUUACAAUUCCUUAUGGCAGAAAGUAUGACAAGGCAUGGCUCCUGAGCAUGAUUCAGAGCAAGUGCAGUGUGCCCUUCACCCCUAUUGAGUUUCAUUAUGAGAAUACACGGGCCCAGUUCUUCGUUGAAGACGCCAGUACUGCCUCUGCAUUGAAGGCUGUCAACUAUAAGAUUUUGGAUCGGGAGAACCGAAGGAUAUCUAUCAUCAUCAACUCUUCUGCUCCACCCCACACAAUACUGAAUGAACUGAAGCCAGAACAAGUAGAACAGCUAAAGCUGAUCAUGAGCAAACGAUAUGAUGGCUCCCAACAAGCCCUUGACCUCAAGGGCCUCCGUUCAGACCCAGAUUUGGUGGCCCAGAACAUUGACGUUGUCCUGAAUCGCAGAAGCUGUAUGGCAGCUACCCUGAGGAUCAUUGAAGAGAACAUUCCUGAGCUAUUGUCCUUGAACUUGAGCAACAACAGGCUAUACAGGCUGGAUGACAUGUCUAGCAUCGUUCAGAAGGCGCCCAACCUGAAGAUCCUAAACCUUUCUGGAAAUGAAUUGAAGUCUGAGCGGGAAUUGGACAAGAUAAAGGGGCUGAAGCUAGAAGAGCUCUGGCUCGACGGAAACUCCCUGUGUGACACCUUCCGAGACCAGUCCACCUACAUCAGGUCAGUUGUAGCCUGUGUCUCCCCUCCUGGGGACCUUCACCCCCUGGGAGGCUGAGCUAAUGCAUCCUGACCAGGGCCCGUCUGCGGAGAUGUGCAGCCCUGAGCUGGAACCACCUGUCCUUUGGGAGGAACGCGUGCUCCCCCUUUGGUCUGUCUAUGUCUUCCAGCUUUGUCCUGAGAUCUUCUCUCUUCUGACCUGACUAUCUGUUUGCUGGGUCUGUGGCCUUUCUCUUUCUUCCUGAACACAGCCUUUUCUAGAAUCUCCCUACCCUGUUGUUCCAGGAAAGGCAUCUCCCUUUCUACUCUGACCAGAGGGUGUCUUGUACAUACCCUAUAGAUGGGGUUGCCUUGUGCCAAGAGCCUGGUGUCCAUGGGUUGAGGAAGCCCUCCCUACCUGGGACUUCCUGCUGAGAUGGGCCUUCCCUCCUUUAUACUGUGAUGGUCCCUCUUGCCCUUGUGCCAAGAGGUACCCUUUUCUCAGGAUCCACUUGCCCAGGGCUGUUGCUGUCCAUGCUGAGGUUGAGGCCUCCUAGGGGCUGGUGGCAUGCAGUCUGUCUCUCUCGCUCAGUGCUAUGAGCUGGGCUCUCCCUGAAGAAGAAACCUGGGUUCCCCAAGAUGUGACCAGAGCUGGGGCCCCGCCAGCAGGCGAGGGAAUCCCAAGGCAGGUGCUGGGCGUGGAGGCCACGGGGGCAUAGGCUACCAAGGAGACAGAGAACUGACCCCCUCGGGGGCGCUGCCUCUCCCUCACUCACACACUGCACGUCACCCUGUUUGGCCCCGGUGGAUGGCUGGUUAGCCAGAGACGGGUAAGAUUCCUCAGGGAAGGAACAACCUAAGACAGGCACAGUCGCAGAGGGGCCAUCAGGAGAGAACUUGGGGGCAACAGAGGUGGGGCAUGGACCCUCACCCCCACAAUCCUGCAGGGGCCUGAACCCUCAUACCUUCUGAGGAAGGUCUCCUGCCCCCAUGGCUGCUUUGCUUCCCACGCCCAGCUCAGAUCGGGACCCAGGUAGCAGACAGAGACCUGGCCAACAGCAAGUGCCCACUCACCACAGCAACGAUUUGUUUCUCAUUUCUACCUUGGACCACAGGGAUGGGGCAGCUGAAAGAAAGGGCUGUGUCAGGGUGUCUUUCUCCCUUUUCUCCCUCAUUUUUCUAGAUGCUUUUUUGCCUUGUAGUUCUUUCCCUUUUUCUUUGCUUUCUCUUUCCUUUUUCUCUCUGUCUCCUAUACCUCCCCAUCUCUCCCUUGCCCCUGCCCCAUCCUGCCUUUUUCUCUUUUUCCUCCUUUUCCUUUCCUUUCUUAUUCCUUUGCCUCUCCUCUUCCUGAGCCCCACCUGCUCAUCUCCCUGCCCUAACAUCCUGUGCCAUCCCUCUGGUGUGUUUGGGUCUUGGCCAAGGCCAGACCUGGCAGAACUGAUGGAUACCUGGUGAGGCAGCGGAGCCCCUGGGCUCCCACCCCAUUCCCUCCUCCCGGGGCUGCACAGGUGAGUAGGUGGAAGGUAAGGGGGGCAGGGAGGGGAAAGAGGUCCUGGGCUUAAAGCCUGGGCUUGGAGUACUGCUCCUUGACACUCAGGGUCAGGCAGAGAGAAAAGAGACAGCCUUCAAGGCAGUCCAUGUCUGGGUGCCCCGGCUCAGGUGGGGAGUGGGGACCAUUUUUCCCUGAGCACAGGCUGGGAGGGAGUGGAGGGAUGAGCAGGAUGGGAUGGGCUGUCCCUCGGGUUUGGUAUAUUUGCUCCUAGAGCAGCCCAGGAGGCACGGUGGCUCUGAAGCAUCACUCACUUCUGUCCCGUUCUUGACAGCGCCAUUCGCGAACGAUUUCCCAAGUUAUUACGCCUGACGGAGUUUCACUCUUGUCGCCCAGGCUGGAGUACAACGGCGUGAUUUCAGCUCACUGCAACCUCUGCCUCCCAGGUUCAAGCGAUUCUCCUGC